rnacentral:rRNA from 1 species
UACGUAGGGUGCAAGCGUUGUCCGGAAUUAUUGGGCGUAAAGGGCUCGUAGGCGGUUUGUCGCGUCGGGAGUGAAAACUCAGGGCUUAACCCUGAGCCUGCUUCCGAUACGGGCAGACUAGAGGUAUGCAGGGGAGAAUGGAAUUCCUGGUGUAGCGGUGAAAUGCGCAGAUAUCAGGAGGAACACCGGUGGCGAAGGCGGCUUCCUGGACACUUACUGACGCUGAGACGCGAAAGCGUGGGGAGCAAACAGG